rnacentral:lncRNA from 1 species
GAAAAUUUGUUGUCUGAUUAUUAAAGUGCAAAAGUAUGACAUGUGUUCUGUUACAAAGUCGAUAUGAUUUUAUGAUGGUUAUAAUGUUAUUGUUUUCAUAUGUUAUUUUCAUGAAUCUCACCGAGGUAAGUGGACAAUAAAGGUUUUUAUGUUAAUAAAUGAGUUCGUUAUAAAUUAUGCUCCAUUGAUCAUUUUUGUUUUCUACCGACCUUUACUUCUGUGGCAGUGAGAUAGUGUGAUGUCUUUAC